rnacentral:rRNA from 1 species
UACGUAGGUGGCUAGCGUUGUCCGGAUUUACUGGGCGUAAAGAGCGCGCAGGCGGUCGUUCAAGUCGAGUGUGAAAGCCCCCGGCUCAACUGGGGAGGGUCACUCGAUACUGAUCGACUCGAAGGCAGGAGAGGGGAAGCGGGAAUUCCCGGUGUAGUGGUGAAAUGCGUAGAUAUCGGGAGGAACACCAGUGGCGAAGGCGGCUCACUGGACCGGUACUGACGCUGAGGCGCGAAAGCGUGGGGAGCAAACAGG